CCUACGGGAGGCUGCAGUGAGGAAUAUUGGUCAAUGGACGAGAGUCUGAACCAGCCACGUAGCGUGAAGGAUGACUGCCCUCUGGGUUGUAAGCUUCUUUUAUAUGGGAAUAAAACGUUCCACGUGUGGGAUUUUGUAUGUACCAUAUGAUUAAGGAUCGGCUAACUCCGUGCCAGCAGCCGCGGUAAUACGGAGGAUCCGAGCGUUAUCCGGAUUUAGUGGGUGUAAAGGGAGCGUAGGUGGAUUGUUAAGUCAGGUGUGAAAGUUUGGGGCUCAACCGUAAGAGUGCAGUUGAAACUGGCAGUCUUGAGUACAGUAGAGGUGGGCGGAAUUCGUGGUGUAGCGGUGAAAUGCUUAGAUAUCACGAAGAACUCCGAUGGCGAAGGCAGUUCACUGGACUGCAACUGACACUGAGGCUCGAAAGUGUGGGUAGCAAACAGGAUUAGAUACCCGUGUAGUC
rnacentral:rRNA from 1 species